ACUCCUACGGGAGGCAGCAGUAGGGAAUCUUCCACAAUGGGCGGCAAGCCUGAUGGAGCAACACCGCGUGAGUGAAGAAGGGUUUCGGCUCGUAAAGCUCUGUUGUUAAAGAAGAACACGUAUGAGAGUAACUGUUCAUACGUUGACGGUAUUUAACCAGAAAGUCACGGCUAACUACGUGCCAGCAGCCGCGGUAAUACGUAGGUGGCAAGCGUUAUCCGGAUUUAUUGGGCGUAAAGAGAGUGCAGGCGGUUUUCUAAGUCUGAUGUGAAAGCCUUCGGCUUAACCGGAGAAGUGCAUCGGAAACUGGAUAACUUGAGUGCAGAAGAGGUAGUGGAACGUCCAUGUGUAGCGGUGGAAGUGCGUAGAUAUAUGGAAGAACACCAGUGGCGAAGGCGGCGUACCUGGUCUGCAACUGACGCUGAGACUCGAAACGACAUGGGUAGCGAACAGGAUUAGAUACCCUCGGUAGGAAACCC
rnacentral:rRNA from 1 species